rnacentral:rRNA from 1 species
UACGUAGGUGGCAAGCGUUGUCCGGAUUUAUUGGGUUUAAAGGGUGCGUAGGCGGCCCUGUAAGUCAGUGCUGAAAUAUCCCGGCUUAACCGGGAGGGUGGCAUUGAUACUGCAGGGCUUGAGUAAAGUUGAGGUUGGCGGAAUUGACGGUGUAGCGGUGAAAUGCUUAGAUAUCGUCAAGAACACCUAUUGCGAAGGCAGCUAACUAAGCUUUAACUGACGCUGAGGCACGAAAGUGUGGGGAUCAAACAGG